rnacentral:rRNA from 1 species
UACGUAGGCAGCGAGCGUUGUUCGGAGUUACUGGGCGUAAAGGGUGUGUAGGCGGUUGUUUAAGUUUGGUGUGAAAUCUCCCGGCUCAACUGGGAGGGUGCGCCGAAUACUGAAUGACUUCGAGUGCGGGAGAGGAGAGUGGAAUUCCUGGUGUAGCGGUGAAAUGCGUAGAUAUCAGGAGGAACACCGGUGGUGUAGACGGCUCUCUGGACCGUAACUGACGCUGAGACACGGAAAGCGUGGGUAGCAAACAGG